rnacentral:rRNA from 1 species
CCUACGGGAGGCUGCAGUGGGGAAUAUUGGACAAUGGGGGGAACCCUGAUCCAGCCAUGCCGCGUGUGUGAAGAAGGCCCUCGGGUUGUAAAGAACUUUCAGUGAGGAAGAACGCCUGGUGGUUAAUACCCAUCAGGAAAGACAUCACUCACAGAAGAAGCACCGGCUAACUCCGUGCCAGCAGCCGCGGUAAUACGGAGGGUGCGAGCGUUAAUCGGAAUUACUGGGCGUAAAGCGCGCGUAGGUGGCUUGAUAAGCCGGUUGUGAAAGCCCCGGGCUCAACCUGGGAACGGCAUCCGGAACUGUCAAGCUAGAGUGCAGGAGAGGAAGGUAGAAUUCCCGGUGUAGCGGUGAAAUGCGUAGAGAUCGGGAGGAAUACCAGUGGCGAAGGCGGCCUUCUGGACUGCCACUGACACUGAGGUGCGAAAGCGUGGGUAGCAAACAGGAUUAGAUACCCGUGUAGUC